GCAGUCGAACGAUGAUGCCCAGCUUGCUGGGCGGAUUAGUGGCGAACGGGUGAGUAAUACGUGAGUAACCUGCCCCUGACUCUGGGAUAAGCCUGGGAAACCGGGUCUAAUACUGGAUACGACUCCUCAUCGCAUGGUGGGGGGUGGAAAGGGUUCACUGGUUUUGGAUGGGCUCACGGCCUAUCAGCUUGUUGGUGGGGUAAUGGCUCACCAAGGCGACGACGGGUAGCCGGCCUGAGAGGGUGACCGGCCACACUGGGACUGAGACACGGCCCAGACUCCUACGGGAGGCAGCAGUGGGGAAUAUUGCACAAUGGGCGAAAGCCUGAUGCAGCGACGCCGCGUGAGGGAUGACGGCCUUCGGGUUGUAAACCUCUUUCAGUAGGGAAGAAGCGCAAGUGACGGUACCUGCAGAAGAAGCGCCGGCUAACUACGUGCCAGCAGCCGCGGUAAUACGUAGGGCGCAAGCGUUGUCCGGAAUUAUUGGGCGUAAAGAGCUCGUAGGCGGUUUGUCGCGUCCGCUGUGAAAGCCCGGGGCUCAACCCCGGGUCGGCAGUGGGUACGGGCAGACUAGAGUGCAGUAGGGGAGACUGGAAUUCCUGGUGUAGCGGUGAAAUGCGC
rnacentral:rRNA from 1 species